AUGGUCGCGUUCAGGUUCCACCAGUACCAGGUGGUCGGGAGGGGCCUGCCGACGCCGACCGAGGAUCAUCCCAGGAUCUACCGCAUGAAGCUCUGGGCCACCAACGAGGUCCGCGCCAAGUCCAACAACGGCCAGAUCCUCGCCUUCAACGAGAUUUUUGAGAAGAACCCCACCACAAUCAAGAACUUUGGUAUCUGGCUGCGUUACCAAAGCAGGACAGGAUACCACAACAUGUACAACGAGUACAGCGACACCACCCUCAAUGGCGCGGUCGAGCAGAUGUACACUGAGAUGGCUUCUCGCCACUGUGCUGCAUCCAGAUCAUCAAGACAGCCACUGUCCACUCCCAACAUCUGCAAGCACAUCAGGUUCCUGCUGGUCUACCAGAAGGUCAGGCCACCAAGUAGGAAACUGCAGACGACCUUCAAGGCCUCAAGGCCAAACUUGUUCGUGUGA
rnacentral:rRNA from 1 species